AUUGAACGCUGGCGGCAGGCUUAACACAUGCAAGUCGAGCGGAGUGAUGGUGCUUGCACUAUCACUUAGCGGCGGACGGGUGAGUAAUGCUUAGGAAUCUGCCAUUUAGUGGGGGACAACAUUCCGAAAGGAAUGCUAAUACCGCAUACGUCCUACGGGAGAAAGCAGGGGAUCUUCGGACCUUGCGCUAAAUGAUGAGCCUAAGUCGGAUUAGCUAGUUGGUGGGGUAAAGGCCUACCAAGGCGACGAUCUGUAGCGGGUCUGAGAGGAUGAUCCGCCACACUGGGACUGAGACACGGCCCAGACUCCUACGGGAGGCAGCAGUGGGGAAUAUUGGACAAUGGGCGGAAGCCUGAUCCAGCCAUGCCGCGUGUGUGAAGAAGGCCUUUUGGUUGUAAAGCACUUUAAGCGAGGAGGAGGCUCUCCUAGUUAAUACCUAGGAAGAGUGGACGUUACUCGCAGAAUAAGCACCGGCUAACUCUGUGCCAGCAGCCGCGGUAAUACAGAGGGUGCGAGCGUUAAUCGGAUUUACUGGGCGUAAAGCGUGCGUAGGCGGCUGAUUAAGUCGGAUGUGAAAUCCCUGAGCUUAACUUAGGAAUUGCAUUCGAUACUGGUCAGCUAGAGUAUGGGAGAGGAUGGUAGAAUUCCAGGUGUAGCGGUGAAAUGCGUAGAGAUCUGGAGGAAUACCGAUGGCGAAGGCAGCCAUCUGGCCUAAUACUGACGCUGAGGUACGAAAGCAUGGGGAGCAAACAGGAUUAGAUACCCUGGUAGUCCAUGCCGUAAACGAUGUCUACUAGCCGUUGGGGCCUUUGAGGCUUUAGUGGCGCAGCUAACGCGAUAAGUAGACCGCCUGGGGAGUACGGUCGCAAGACUAAAACUCAAAUGAAUUGACGGGGGCCCGCACAAGCGGUGGAGCAUGUGGUUUAAUUCGAUGCAACGCGAAGAACCUUACCUGGCCUUGACAUACUAGAAACUUUCCAGAGAUGGAUUGGUGCCUUCGGGAAUCUAGAUACAGGUGCUGCAUGGCUGUCGUCAGCUCGUGUCGUGAGAUGUUGGGUUAAGUCUCGCAACGAGCGCAACCCUUUUCCUUAUUUGCCAGCGAGUAAUGUCGGGAACUUUAAGGAUACUGCCAGUGACAAACUGGAGGAAGGCGGGGACGACGUCAAGUCACCAUGGCCCUUACGGCCAGGGCUACACACGUGCUACAAUGGUCGGUACAAAGGGUUGCUACCUAGCGAUAGGAUGCUAAUCUCAAAAAGCCGAUCGUAGUCCGGAUUGGAGUCUGCAACUCGACUCCGUGAAGUCGGAAUCGCUAGUAAUCGCGGAUCAGAAUGCCGCGGUGAAUACGUUCCCGGGCCUUGUACACACCGCCCGUCACACCAUGGGAGUUUGUUGCACCAGAAGUAGGUAGUCUAACCGCAAGGAGGACGCUUACCACGGUGUGGCCGAUGACUGGGGUG
rnacentral:rRNA from 1 species